AUCUGUGGGUCUAGCCUGUGUGCUGGGCUGAGCUGCUCUUGUCACUGGGGACUAGCCCUUGGUGGGCUAAUUGGGCUCAACCAGCCCUGACUGGGCUCCAUCAGCGGGAGAUCUGGGCUUCUGGUGAUGGGGCCCUGGCCAGGCCUGAAAACUUCUCUGAUGGGGGAGACUUGAGCUAAGAAGCUUGACUCCUUCCUGAGUACUUGAAGCUCUUCAUGGUCUGGAUCCCGCCACCUCUGUCCGUCCAUCAGACCAGCAGCUCCUGAAAUACGGCCCCUUCUGUCUGUGCAGGCAGCCGGCCCUCCGUGGAACCGUCCUUCCUGCCAUUGUCUGCCAGCCCUUCAGGCCCAGCUGGAGUGUCAGGGCCUCAGAAGAGCCUUCCGCGCCUUGGCCUCCUUCUCCCAGACAGUUCUAAUUGCUCCCUCCUCUGCACUCACAUGCCACUUUAUUAGAGCACUUAGAGCUGCUCUUCUCUUUAGAAGACGCCGUGAUUUAUUCAUGUGCCUUAUUAAUGGUCCUAUUCCCAGUGGCUGGUGCAGGCCCGGUAGGCAACAAGGCUCACCACAGGCGUGAUGGGCGAAUGAAGGCAGGAGGAAAUGCCGAGUGGGAGCUGCAGGGAGUAGAGAAUCGGGACAGGUACCCCUCAGUAUCCUCUGGAUGGAGGAGCUUGCCCCAGUGAGCACCCGCAGUGCCCAACUCUGCCCUGCCUAACGCUCCUUGCAACUGUAACGCCUGCUGGGCAGCAGGGCUCAGGGACUGAGCUGAUGGCUUUUGGAUCAAACUGCUUGUAUUUGAAUCCUAGCCGUGACCUUGGGCAAGCUGGUUGUCUUUUCUGUCAUUCCUCGGCCAUUUCUUCUGUGAGGCAUGGGCGAUAACUGUCCUGAACCACUGGGGUACUGAGAGAUUCACGGAACUAACCCACGUGGAGCGCCAGCCCAGAGCAGGGCUUGCAUUAGGUGCUCAUGAGCAUCAGUCCUCGAUGGCAGCUCUGUCUUUCCUGCGGGGGAGGGGAGGAGGUGUUCUGUGAGGCCAGGGGCCCCCUCGGCCUUGUUCUCUGCCCAGUACAUGUGGAAAAGUCUGGUGGUGACAGGCCGACAAGAGAGAGAAAUUCUGUAGUGGGAGAUGCAGGCCUACUCGCUUGCCCUGUGGAGCUUUGGCUGAUGUUAAGCAAGUCACCUAGCAUGGAUGAGAGGGACCAAAUUCCCCUGGAGUAUGACCUUUUAGAGGAAGCCUUCCCACAAAGGAUCCCAAAUAUUUGCAAUUCAAGUCAGAGCAAAAGAUUGAUUUUCCUGGUAAAUAAAGAGCUCCUACCAAUCAUUAAGGAAAAUAAACAAUCCAAUAGGAAUCCAGGCAAAGAUAUGAACGGACAGCUCACAAAAAGGGAGUACAAAGAACUCUGAGACCAAUGACGUGUGAAAAAGGCUGACUCUCACUCAUCAUGGGAGCCAUGUACAUAGAAUGGCACUGCGCCGCAACCCCAGCCUCAGACUGCUCAAGACUGCCGACGAGGGUGUGCAGCGGGCACACACUGCUGCCUCGUGGGCACAGCGUGCUGUUGUACACAGACCACAGAGAUCACCUUGACCCUGCGCUUCUGAAGGGUGACCUGGCAAUAAUUUAGCACUGCCUCUACUCAGCAAGUCAUCCCAUCUCUACACGGACAAGGCUAUUCCACACGUACCAGAUUGUUCCCUGAAGCAUUUUCAGUAUCACCAAAGAUUUGAAACAGCCCAAGUGUCCUUCACUAGAGGGUGGGCUAAAUAAUUUAUGGUGGAUUGGUACAACUGAACACUAUGCAAUCAUGAAGAAGAGGGGAGGGGAAAGGGUAGUAGGAAGUACUUUUAUGCACUGAUGUGCAUUGAGCUCCAAGAUACAUUUUUAAGUGAAAGUGCAAGGCAUUCCGUAGAAUGGAAUACAAAUGAUUCUUUUAUUUGUAUAAAGGAGAAAAAACAUGAAUAUAUGUGUACACAUAUAUAUACAAAAUACGUAAAUGUAUAUGAUGUACAAAUUCGUAUUU
ensembl:lncRNA